GAGUGGGGAGGAGAGAGGGACAGAGAGCCUGCUUCUUUAAAGGAACCAACUGGACAGGAGCCGCUUACACUCGUGUAAGCGGCUCCUGUCCGGUUGGUUCCUUUACAGCAAGCAGGCUCUCUGUCCCUCUCUCCUCCCCACUC